GUGGAGGACAAACGUCGCAUUGAGACGGUCUGCGCUCUCAUUUACUCGUACGAACCGGUCUCCCUGAUACAUGUGUUACACGCUAUCCCGCUAAUAAUAUUAUCGUGCAGUGUUUUAUAUUAACUUUUAAAGGAUUUUCACGUGAACGUAGUGCUCCAUUCGAUUUUUAAACUUAUUUUUUAGUGCGUGCGUUAAGUUUUUAUACUUUCGGGUGAAGUGUAAGUUUUAAAAAGUUUUUUUAGUGGUCGUAUCAGCAUAAGUGACGUAAACUGUCUUAUCAAAGGGAAUUACCGUGAUUUAUGUGCCGCGCUGAACCAAUUGGAUUUGAUAACGCUUCCGUAUAGAAGUUUAGCAAGAUUAAGUUAAACUUUAAAAGUUUUUGCCUGUUUGCGCAAAAAGUAUCAUCACGUCAGAAGAAACAGCUGGAAGUCAAAAAUAAAGAGUUGACACCAUUCUACGGAUUAAACAUGUCAUAAGGCACUACAUGGCGACUAGAGGAUGAGCCAUGGAAUCACGAAGUGCGCCGCCAAGCCCCGACGAAUCAGGGGAGGCGGUGUUCGACUCACGGUGUGGACGAUACCCUCACCAGCCUUCCCUACAGAGGGCCUUUGCAAGCUGUCGCGAGACCGGUCGACCUCGACCCCAUCAUCGUCAUGCAGCAUCCGAGCCAGCACGACCAGACGAUCGUGUUCUUACCACAGCCGAAGUACACGACUAUCCCUCAUCAGAGUCAGGCAUCGCUGCCGAUUGUCCCCAUCCACAUUCGAGCAACGCCGACGACAGUCCGUGCUACGAUCGAUCAGAUUACGAAGGAAAUUCUAAUUACAGUCUAAGGCACAACUUUCAUCACACCAUCGAUUGCAGUAAACAUAGAUCUGAAUUAAAUUGUAGUCAUACUCCAGAUUACAGCCACGAUGAUUCGGAUUGUGAUAGAGGACAUUCUCGUUCUCAAACAUCUCGGCGACCACACCGAAAACAUAGAAGAGAAGACGGAGAUGAGGCACAAUCUCUUGAUGAACGUUGUGCCCGUGAUCUUGAUGAAAUAUUACCCGCAAGGCUUGCUGCAGUAAAUCUAUCAAGAGACCAGCCACCACAAUCUUGGAACCGAAGUAAUAUUGCAGCUACAAUGGAGCGGUUCGAACCCGUCGAUUACUCGUAUGCCUAUUACGACCAUCAUUUAUCAAUGCCUUCAUCGUCAAGGAAAGCAAAUCGUCAACGCGGACGGGGUGGAGUCCCACGGGAUCGAUCCGCUCGACACAAUUUUGUAACAAGAUAUGGCACUGAAGAAAACAUUUACGAGGAAAUAACAGAUGGUUCUAGAACAUGUCCGAAACAUCGAUAUGUACCUCGGCAAUCUUUAGUUUCACUUGAUAGGAGCGUUGUUGAAGAGGAAGUACGCCGAGUAGAGUCAAGACAUAAACGAAUUUUGGGAGAAUUGAAUCUUAGUGUAGAAGCGAUGUUAAUGCCAGAGUGUGAAUCACCUGAUUCCGAAGUGGCAGAAGACCGUGAUAAUAUAGAAGAAUUAUUAAGAGUUGGGCCCACAGAUGAGUUAUUAUCACCCGCUAGCUGUAACCCCCCCGAUUUGGAUAGUGGUUUUAGUGGAAGCAGUAGUGGAGCAAGCUAUGUCGGUAGCUUAAGAAGAAAACCUACAGGUUCAGUACCGCAUCUGCCUGCAGUAGCUUAUGGGACGCGAGGUGCUGGCGUUCGAAUUUUAGGUGCGGAUGAAUGUAACUUGCGCUGUCCUAGAGAUGGUGCAUCGCCAAGAAGCUCUAGUUGUGGAGAUGCAAAAUCCAGUGGCUUUUGGAAUAAAAAGGCUUGGAGAAAAAUAUCUGGAUUCUCGAGCUCCAGUAGUAUAAACAAAGCUGGCUUGACAGGUCUGCUCGUUAGGUACACUUUCCGACGUAAGUCCGGCUCGCAAGGUACUCAGGGCAAGCGGCGUGCCGAGCCCGUCAAAUGCGAUGCGUGCCUCUCACAACGAUGUUAGCCGCUAUUAUGAUGAAGCAUGUAGGCCAAGCAGAGCUAAAUCCAGAACAGCUACUAUACCAUACAGUUACUCCAACGGAAAACUGGUGGUGCCGUUGGAUUCCCUAGCACAGAGCUGAGGGGCCGAACCCCCUUGCAAUUCCCGCCUCAAAUUCCUGCGAAGGACUUCUAAGUACUAAAUGACAACAAUGAAAGCCAACUACAAAGUUACUUGAAGUAUACACGUAUUACAUGUUAACUCUACAUUGACUGCGGGCGAAGUGACGGUUCACGAUUCUAUGCCUUCGAUGUUUGUGGUGUCACGAAGAGCUUGUACUAAUUCCACCGACAUAUAAGGCAUCAGCUCUCGUUAUUUAUCAAGAUUUGUAUCGUUCGUUAAGUCAGUUGCAUUUAAAAUAUUUAAAAAUGCAUUGCUCUUCAACAAGUUUAGGUUACGUGACGUGACGUGACGUGAGUUGUAUAUUGUCAAGAGAAAAUUUAUAUCAAUGACAACAUUCCAAAUGAUGAUUGCGACCAGUGGUACCAAAUUUGGACCACACAGUGAGUCUAUAAGACGCGCUGCUUAGGCUUCUCUUUACUUUUUGUACUGUAAAAUUGUUGUAAAUAUAGCAAUCAAUGACGAUUAGAAAAAGGGGCGUAUACGUUGACGUGAUAGAAGAGCCUAAUUAAUAUUUUCUAUUGUUAAGAUAACAGUUUCAUAGAAACAUACUACGUUGUUGUUACUUAUCAAUUUUUAGUAGAUAUUAGGUACAAAAAGGCUGACACGAUUUAAACCGAUUUUAUACAUGUAUUAUAACUCAAUAGCAUUUUCUUUUUUUUUUAAUAUUUAUCAAC